rnacentral:rRNA from 1 species
UACGUAGGGUGCGAGCGUUAAUCGGAAUUACUGGGCGUAAAGUGUGCGCAGGCGGCCGAGCAAGUCGAGUGUGAAAGCCCCGAGCUUAACUUGGGAACUGCGCUCGAAACUGCUUGGCUAGAGUGUGGCAGAGGGAGGUGGAAUUCCACGUGUAGCGGUGAAAUGCGUAGAGAUGUGGAGGAACACCGAUGGCGAAGGCAGCCUCCUGGGCCAACACUGACGCUCAUGCACGAAAGCGUGGGGAGCAAACAGG